rnacentral:rRNA from 1 species
GUCCACGGCCAUGCCACCCUGAACGUGCCCAAUCUUGUCUGAUCUCGGAAGCUAAGCGGGGUCAGGCCUGGUUAGUACUGGAUGCCUAAAGCACCUGGUAUUCCUAGGUGGUCUCCUAGGAAUACCAGGUGCUGUAGGCA